rnacentral:rRNA from 1 species
UACGUAGGGGCCGAGCGUUGUCCGGAGUUACUGGGCGUAAAGCGCGCGCAGGCGGCGCAUCGCGCCCGGCGUGAAAGCCCCCGGCUCAACCGGGGAGGGUCGUCGGGGACGGGUGCGCUUGAGGACAGCAGGGGCAGGUGGAAUUCCCGGUGUAGUGGUGAAAUGCGUAGAGAUCGGGAGGAACACCCGUGGCGAAGGCGGCCUGCUGGGCCGAUCCUGACGCUGAGGCGCGAAGGCGUGGGGAGCGAACGGG